rnacentral:rRNA from 1 species
ACUGCGGCAGGACAUUAAGAGUAAGGGUGCUCAGCGCCCGACCUCCAACCCUUUGUUGUUAAAACUACCUUGUUGCUUUGGCGGGACCGCUCGGUCUCGAGCCGCUGGGGAUUCGUCCCAGGCGAGCGCCCGCCAGAGUUAAACCAAACUCUUGUUAUUUAACCGGUCGUCUGAGUUAAAAUUUUGAAUAAAUCAAAACUUUCAACAACGGAUCUCUUGGUUCUCGCAUCGAUGAAGAACGCAGCGAAAUGCGAUAAGUAAUGUGAAUUGCAGAAUUCAGUGAAUCAUCGAAUCUUUGAACGCACAUUGCGCCCCUUGGUAUUCCGAGGGGCAUGCCUGUUCGAGCGUCAUUACACCACUCAAGCUAUGCUUGGUAUUGGGCGUCGUCCUUAGUUGGGCGCGCCUUAAAGACCUCGGCGAGGCCACUCCGGCUUUAGGCGUAGUAGAAUUUAUUCGAACGUCUGUCAAAGGAGAGGAACUCUGCCGACUGAAACCUUUAUUUUUCUAGGUUGACCUCGGAUCAGGUAGGGAUACCCGCUGAACUUAAGCAUAUC